UACGUAGGGUGCAAGCGUUGUCCGGAUUUAUUGGGCGUAAAGAGCUCGUAGGCGGUCUGUCGCGUCGGCUGUGAAAACCCGGGGCUCAACCCCGGGCCUGCAGUCGAUACGGGCAGACUAGAGUGCGGUAGGGGAGACUGGAAUUCCUGGUGUAGCGGUGAAAUGCGCAGAUAUCGGGAGGAACACCAGUGGCGAAGGCGAUCAUCUGGGGUUGUUCUGACACUGAGGAGCGAAAGCUAGGGGAGCAAACGGG
rnacentral:rRNA from 1 species